rnacentral:rRNA from 1 species
AGUGAACGCUGGCGGUAGGCCUAACACAUGCAAGUCGAACGGCAGCACAGUAAGAGCUUGCUCUUACGGGUGGCGAGUAGCGGACGGGUGAGGAAUACAUCGGAAUCUACUUUUUCGUGGGGGAUAACGUAGGGAAACUUACGCUAAUACCGCAUACGACCUACGGGUGAAAGCAGGGGAUCUUCGGACCUUGCGCGAUUGAAUGAGCCGAUGUCGGAUUAGCUAGUUGGCGGGGUAAAGGCCCACCAAGGCGACGAUCCGUAGCUGGUCUGAGAGGAUGAUCAGCCACACUGGAACUGAGACACGGUCCAGACUCCUACGGGAGGCAGCAGUGGGGAAUAUUGGACAAUGGGCGCAAGCCUGAUCCAGCCAUACCGCGUGGGUGAUGAAGGCCUUCGGGUUGUAAAGCCCUUUUGUUGGGAAAGAAAAGCAGCAGGUUAAUACCCCGCUGUUCUGACGGUACCCAAAGAAUAAGCACCGGCUAACUUCGUG